UUACCCGACCAAGUAACCCGUGCCAACCAUACCCUUUCCUGCCCAAUAUCUCCGGGAAACUGGAAUUAAUACCGCAUACUCCCUACGGGGGAAAGAUUUAUCGGGGAAGGAUUGGCCCGCGUUGAAUUACCUAGUUGGUGGGGUAAAGGCCUACCAAGGCGACAAUCCAAAUCUGGUCUGAAAGGAUGAUCACCCCCAUUGGGACUGAAACACGGUCCAACCUUCUACGGGAGGCAGCAGGGGGGAAUAUUGGACAAGGGGCGCAAGCCUGAUCCAGCCUUGCCGCGGGAGUGAUGAAGGCCUUAGGGUUGUAAAGCUCUUUCACCGGAAAAAAUAAUGACGGUUUCCGGAGAAAAAGCCCCGGCUAACUUCGUGCCAGCAGCCGCGGUAAUACAAAGGGGGCUAGCGUUGUUCGGAAUUACGGGGCGUAAAGCGCACGUAGGCGGAUAUUUAAGUCAGGGGUGAAAUCCCAGAGCUCACCUCUGGAACUGCCUUUGAUACUGGGUAUCUGGAGUAUGGAAGAGGUAAGUGGAAUUCCGAGUGUAGAGGUGAAAUUCGUAGAUAUUCGGAGGACCACCAGUGGCGAAGGCGGCUUACUGUUCCAUUACUGACGCUGAGGUGCGAAAGCGUGGGGAGCAAACAGGAUUAGA
rnacentral:rRNA from 1 species